AGAAACUAUUUUAAAAUAAAAUGUCUAUUAAAAUAUUUAAAAUUGCUAUAAAAAAUUAAAAAUCUUCACAAAUUUUUUUUUUAAAAAAAUUAUAU
rnacentral:miRNA from 1 species